UUUUUACAACAGCAUAGAUAGACAAGGUGAUGGAGAGAUUUUCUCAAGUUCUCCAUCAUUCAACUGUAGGAUAUUGAAAAAGGGGGUAGAUAGAGAUACUGAUCAGUAUAUGCUGCAGCUGGACAUGCUCACUGUAAAUGCAGCUACU